rnacentral:rRNA from 1 species
UCCGGUUGAUCCUGCCGGAGGCCAUUGCUAUCGGAGUCCGACUUAGCCAUGCUAGUUGCGCGAGUUUAGACUCGCAGCAGAUAGCUCAGUAACACGUGGUCAAGCUACCCUGCAGACACGGACAACCUCGGGAAACUGAGGCUAAUCCGCGAUAUCGAUCCCACGCUGGAACAGCCGGGAUCAGCAAACGCUCCGGCGCUGCAGGAUGCGGCUGCGGCCGAUUAGGUAGACGGUGGGGUAACGGCCCACCGUGCCGAUAAUCGGUACGGGUUGUGAGAGCAAGAGCCCGGAGACGGGAUCUGAGACAAGAUUCCGGGCCCUACGGGGCGCAGCAGGCGCGAAACCUUUACACUGCACGCAAGUGCGAUAAGGGGACUCCGAGUGCGGGGGCAUAUAGUCCUCGCUUUUGAGAACCGUAAGGCGGUUCUCGAAUAAGAGCUGGGCAAGACCGGUGCCAGCCGCCGCGGUAAUACCGGCAGCUCAAGUGAUGGCCAAUCUUAUUGGGCCUAAAGCGUCCGUAGCUGGCCGUGAAAGUUCGUCGGGAAAUCCAUCCGCUCAACGGAUGGGCGUCCGGCGAAAACUUCACGGCUUGGGACCGGAAGGCUCGAGGGGUACGUCUGGGGUAGGAGUGAAAUCCCGUAAUCCUGGACGGACCGCCGAUGGCGAAAGCACCUCGAGAAGACGGAUCCGACAGUGAGGGACGAAAGCUAGGGUCUCGAACCGGAUUAGAUACCCGGGUAGUCCUAGCCGUAAACAAUGUUCACUAGGUGUGGCACAGGCUACGAGCCUGUGCUGUGCCGUAGGGAAGCCGAGAAGUGAACCGCCUGGGAAGUACGUCCGCAAGGAUGAAACUUAAAGGAAUUGGCGGGGGAGCACUACAACCGGAGGAGCCUGCGGUUUAAUUGGACUCAACGCCGGACAUCUCACCAGCAUCGACUGUAGUAAUGACGACCAGGUUGAUGACCUUGUCCGAGCUUCAGAGAGGAGGUGCAUGGCCGCCGUCAGCUCGUACCGUGAGGCGUCCUGUUAAGUCAGGCAACGAGCGAGACCCGCAUCCUUACUUGCCAGCAGCACUGCGAAGUGGCUGGGGACAGUAGGGAGACCGCCGUGGCCAACACGGAGGAAGGAACGGGCAACGGUAGGUCAGUAUGCCCCGAAUGAGCUGGGCUACACGCGGGCUACAAUGGCCAGAACAAUGGGUUGCAACCCCGAAAGGGAACGCUAAUCUCCGAAAUCUGGUCGUAGUUCGGAUUGAGGGCUGAAACUCGCCCUCAUGAAGCUGGAUUCGGUAGUAAUCGCAUUUCAGAAGAGUGCGGUGAAUACGUCCCUGCUCCUUGCACACACCGCCCGUCAAAGCACCCGAGUGAGGUCCGGAUGAGGCCAUCGCAAGAUGGUCGAAUCUGGGCUUCGCAAGGGGGCUUAAGUCGUAACAAGGUAGCCGUAGGGGAAUCUGCGGCUGGAUCACCUCCUGAUGGUCGAAUCUGGGCUUCGCAAGGGGGCUUAAGUCGUAACAAGGUAGCCGUAGGGGAAUCUGCGGCUGGAUCACCUCCU